rnacentral:rRNA from 1 species
AUUGAACGCUGGCGGCAUGCUUUACACAUGCAAGUCGAACGGCAGCGGGGUAGUGCUUGCACUACUGCCGGCGAGUGGCGAACGGGUGAGUAAUAUAUCGGAACGUACCGAGUAAUGGGGGAUAACCAAUCGAAAGAUUGGCUAAUACCGCAUACGUCCUGAGGGAGAAAGCGGGGGAUCGCAAGACCUCGCGUUAUUCGAGCGGCCGAUAACUGAUUAGCUAGUUGGUGGGGUAAAGGCCUACCAAGGCGACGAUCAGUAGCGGGUCUGAGAGGACGAUCCGCCACACUGGGACUGAGACACGGCCCAGACUCCUACGGGAGGCAGCAGUGGGGAAUUUUGGACAAUGGGGGCAACCCUGAUCCAGCCAUGCCGCGUGGAUGAAGAAGGCCUUCGGGUUGUAAAGUACUUUUGUUAGGGAAGAAAAGGGAAGUGCUAAUACCACUUUUUGCUGACGGUACCUAAAGAAUAAGCACCGGCUAACUACGU